rnacentral:tRNA from 3 species
GCGGAUGUAGCUCAAUGGUAGAGCCCCAGCCUUCCAAGCUGGCCAUGCCGGUUCGAUCCCGGUCAUCCGCUCCA